rnacentral:rRNA from 1 species
GACAGAGGUGCCGAGCGUUAGGCGGAAUCACUGGGCUUAAAGCGUGUGUAGGCGGACUGGUAAGUACCUUGUGAAAUCCCACGGCUUAACCGUGGAACUGCUCGGUAUACUGCCGGUCUUGAGCCACCUAGGGGCGAGCGGAACAAAUGGUGGAGCGGUGAAAUGCGUAGAUAUCAUUUGGAACGCCAAUGGUGAAAACAGCUCGCUGGGGGUGUGACUGACGCUGAGACACGAAAGCCAGGGGAGCAAACGGGA